CUCACAGCCAGGGCUGCCCAGGGCUCUGCCCCAGUGUCAUCUCUCCUUCCCUCUCUGCCUCUGCUACUGGCAACAGUGGGCACCACCUGGAUUUGGGGAUUAUGGAACUGUGAAGCUUACUUGGCUCCUUAGGAUACAUGAUAAAAAUGUGCAGAAGAAAACAUUCACUUGCUACAGCAGGCCCUGGGUCAGGCCCUAUUAUUGCUGCUGGCAGGGGCCUCUCAGGCCUCUUCUCCUCUCAGCCAUCCAAAGCCCUUCAUGCUCCUGAGAGUCACAGGAAGCUGUUUUCACAGAAGAGAUGCACAACAGCCUGAUGGAUAUCACACUGAAGUCAAUCACCACCUUUCUGCCUCACUGUUACAAGCAACUGCAAGUUUCUGGCUGACUUGACACCACAAAUAGGGUGUUUUACUUUAUUAUCACUGUUUUAGAAGCAUAAGAAAUUUUUUAUUUCCCUGAAAACCAAAAAUAGGUCUGAGAUCCAGAUAGAACACAAACCUUCACCCUCAGCAGUUACACACGUCUGUGAACCAGAGGGAGUUGAAAACUCACACAAGUAUUUGGAAGAGUCAAGUCUUGUUCUACAGGCUGUGCCAGGACAUAGACAGAGAGAGGAAUGUGUGGCACUGGUGAAAAACUGGGGUUGGUGAUGUGAACCAGGUUCUCAUUCUGCAAUAUUACCCAGUCAAUGCCAGGAGCAAGAGGCUGUUUUUCCUUCUGUCCUGAAACGAGGAGCUAUCUGCCCCUGAUGUGGAAGGGGUUAUGGAUACUAUCUUACCUCAGCACUGGAAAAGGAGAGCUACUUCUUAUUCAACCUGAAGUCUAAGAGAUAUAUGGUGGAGAGGAGCCUUUCACAUCCCAGUUCUCAGACUGGAUAGACAGAGUUCCAUUCAAGUUCAUUAAUAUUGCUGCUGCUGGGGACUGGCAGAGAGGUUUUCUGGUUGGAAUUAUAAGGAAAAAAUGGUCACAGCAUCAAUCUGUCCCCAGUUUAAAAUCUCUGAACAGGGUACAGGCCAGAGGGCUAAAAAGCAUGCUCAUCAGUAUGAGCAGGACAGCCAGAGCAGGCUGAGGCCAGCUCAGACCAUCCUGCUACCUUGGAAUAAGUGUCUGAUCAAUCCUGGUGCAAUUGGUUUAGGCAUGAAGGAACCCUCCAUCCCCUUAAGACUAUUCUGACACUUUCUUUCAUGUACAAUUUUUUUUUUUUUUCUAGUGGUCUUUGACCCAGCAGCUACUUUAAGCUCUUUGUAGAUAUCUUUGCCACUCAUUCAGAUGCUCUGCUCAGCAGUGGCAUUAGCAGAGGACGUAUAGAAGUUACUUCUUAUGUUCUGGACCUUCCCAAUAAAGAGUUGACCCUGCCCAAGGUAGGAAACUGAGCUGUGUGCACCUUGGGUUGGUGGUACUCUGUGUCCCACAUGCCUUUGCAGCACAGUCAGAUAACCACAUUUCUUUCAGUAGAGAACAUUAGGCCAUUCCCACAGAAACAUGUAAGACAAAGCUGCAGUUCAUAGGGAUGCUGGGUGGCUGCUCAGAAAGUUGCAGAACCAGAACCAGUCAUGUUUCAGAUGAAGGAGAAAUCCUUAAAGCAAAUUGAAGAAUCACAAGAAGUCCUUCACUCCCUCCCACCAUGUUUCUCAGCGUUUUUACCUAAGGCUUGAUUUCUUUCAGCUUAGUCAAACAUGGGGUACAUACAUCUGAACACCUUUUCCAGGGAGAUAACAAAAUGAGUGCAAACUCAUAACUGAGAUAAUAAGAAUGCCUAGCUCAACUAUUAUGCAGAUAAGAAAGCAGGCAUCAGUGCAAAUUCAUUUCAUUCUGAUAAUUAGAUCCUGCUGACAUUUUCUGUGGGAGUAAGUUGAGGAGAGCCAGUGAUUCUAGCUGCUGUUCAGAUACCAAGGAGGAAUAUGAAGUAAUUGCAGCUUGCCAUAAAGAAAGCUGGCAUGGAGCAAUGCCUAUUUCAGUCAUGACUUUAUUUUCCAAAAGACUGUGAAGAUUAACUUUAUAACUGGGAAAAAACACUCUUUUUUUAGGUUAACCUAAUGGCUUGGGCGGGGAGGGGGGGGCGCAUGUUAUUGCACUAGCUGAUA